rnacentral:rRNA from 1 species
CACGAAGCUGGAAUCGCUAGUAAUCGCGAAUCAGAAUGUCGCGGUGAAUACGUUCCCGGGUCUUGUACACACCGCCCGUCACACCAUGGGAGUCGGGAAUGCCCGAAGUCAGUGACCCAACCAUAUGGAGGGAGCUGCCGAACGGCAGGUCUGAUAACUGGGGUGAAGUCGUAACAAGGUAGC